rnacentral:misc_RNA from 1 species
GUAUUAAUUGCGUGUGAUCGCAAAAGAAAAACAUUCUACACUGUAUCGAGUUUGUGUGAAAACGUGAGCCCCCGAAAGGGGACCCACGCGGUGGUGCACAUAGGGGUGAGAUGGAUGUUUGAGAACGCUCGGGCGUGCACGACGAAAAAGUCAGCGACAGCCCUUGCACCUCAGUUUUACGAUAAUGAUCCUUCCGCAGGUUCACCUACGGAAA